GUAUACUUGUUUAGUCAUGAAGUAUUUAUUGUUAGGAACAAAUAACACUUUAUGUGACAUGCUUAAAGUGUUCAAAAUCACUUACUACCUAGUUUGUAUAAGUAACUUGACUAACGGGUCAAACGGUUAGUGAAUGGAAAGAAUUAUGGAAAAAAAUUGUUGUUGAAUAUAUAGCAUACUUUGAUGAAUAAGUGUGUGAAUCCAUAAGGUGUGAUGGUCAUGUUAAUGGUUCACUAAUCUAAUCAUCUUGUGGAUAUGAUAUGGUAGUUUGACUCUGACAAACUAGGUAGGAGCUUGGAAAUGAACGGGUCAAAUGGAUACAAGUUCAAGUAUGAAGCUCGCAAGGAUGCAAGGUGAUAAAUAUGACAAUGGAUUAUGUUUUAAAAAAUGGGUUCCGACACGAACCGAAAUGAGUCGGAAUGAAUAAAAACGAUCAAAACCAUGGUUAAUGCUAAAAAGAGGCAAAAUGGUAAUCUAGUUAUGAAUUGACUAAGAAUUUAUAAGGUUUCUUAGAGUUACCUAAUAGCGUAACUAGA
rnacentral:lncRNA from 1 species